UGCUCUCCGCCUCGUUUGUGUUUCCUGGGCUUCCGUAGUCUAUUCCAGCCCUCGUAGCUCCUCCCCUUUUCCCUCAGAGCGUUGUUCCGCGCUGCUGUGGAGCCGGAGUGCAGGGAGAAGGAGUUGAGGAGGUUGUUCAUUUGUUUUUCCUUCUUCCCCCAGAAUAAAAAAAUAAAAUAUCUGGUUGAGACCCA